UCACACAACCUGUCGCCUGGCUGGUCCGGCAUCGGUCGCUUGCUCCAGCGCCAUCCAUUUUCGGGGCCGGUCGAUUCGGCAGGUAAGUUGUUACACACUCCUGAUGUAUCGGAUGAGCGUUGUGUAGG